rnacentral:rRNA from 1 species
UACGAGGGGGGCGAGCGUUGUUCGGAAUUAUUGGGCGUAAAGGGUGCGUAGGCGGUUUGGUAAGUCUGAUGUGAAAUCUAUGGGCUCAACUCAUAGUCUGCAUCGGAAACUGCCGGGCUUGAGUAUGGGAGAGGUGAGUGGAAUUCCUGGUGUAGCGGUGAAAUGCGUAGAGAUCGGGAAGAACAUCGGUGGCGAAGGCGCUCUACUGGACCACAACUGACACUCAGGGACGAAAGCUAGGGGAGCGAAUGGG